GUAUUUAUAGUGUAAUAUAUUAACACACUAGUUUUUCGUGCUAGAGAUAUGAGUUUCAUUAAAUAUU
rnacentral:tRNA from 1 species